GGCUCGUUAGCUCAGCUGGUUAGAGCAACACACUGAUAAUGUGGAGGUCGUAGGUUCGAUCCCUACACGAGCCU